CUCCCACCCUCCCUUGCCCUGGCUCCAGGAGCCAAUCAGAAGCCUCUGGGAAGCAAGGCAGCAUGGCCAGGAGGGAGACGGAAGGAAGGAAGGAAGGAACGGCAGCGCAGUAGCAGCCACGGAAGGUUUUCAAGCCUCGGCUGAGGGACAGAACAACAUAUCAUUUUGUGGAUGA
rnacentral:lncRNA from 11 species